AUGAGAGGGAGAGAUAAGCAAGAAGAUGAGAGGGAGAGAGAGGAAAGGGGAGAGGAAGGCUUCUACGUCACCGCUCUCUGGAUGCACGCCAUCCACCCGCGCACGCUCGCCACCAACCUCGCCGGCUUCGCCAGGUUCGGCUGCCUCAAGGACCUCCCCGAGAUCCUCUAUCGUUUCCUCCACGACCCCCGCGAUGAGCGCAAGGACCAGGACGACAUCGCCGCGGCGGCCCCGGGGGCAAGAGCGGGAAGCGGCAAGCGGCGGCUGAGGCCGCCAAGGCCAGGCGCGAGAAGGAGGCGGAGCACGCGCAGGCCGUGCUCGCACGCUACGACUCUGACGAGGCCUUACGCAAUCUCUACGAUGGCGUCGCCGACCUCUUCGUCUGGCUGCUCAAGUCGGGCCUGGAGCACCUGCGCGCGGGCGACACGGCCAAGAUCGUUUAUGCUCAAGCACAUCCGCGUCCGCAACCGGCUCCGCCGCGAGGUGCAGGUGCCGCUCCGCAAGGUGCUCGAGCUCCCCGAGGUCUACAUGAGCGCCCACACGUUGGACGAGCUGCCCUACGCGCGCUCGUGGCGUUCACGGCCAUGCGCCAGUACAAGGAGGCGUCCUGGCUGUGCUUCUUUCUUAUGGUCCAUGGACAUUGUCAUAAUGGUCACCUUACCACAGUGUAUUAUUUUUGGAUCUCAUAUUCCUCAAGGCGCUCCAUCCUCUGAUUCGAUGUCGGCCGAUCUGAGAAAUAAUAGGAGGAAUAAUCCAGCAGAAGAAUUUGGUGAAGAAGAACAAGGUGAUAUUUCUCUCGUGUGA
rnacentral:rRNA from 1 species